GGGAUCAUAGCUCAGCUGGGAGAGCACCUGCCUUACAAGCAGGGGGUCACAGGUUCGAGUCCUGUUGGUCCCACCA
rnacentral:tRNA from 1 species